GACGAACCGUGCAAGAGUUGUUCGGAAUCACUGGGCUUAAAGGGCGCGUAGGCGGGGUGGCAAGUCUGUGGUGGAAUCCUCCGGCUCAACCGGAGAACUGCCGUGGAUACUGCCACUCUCGAGGGUGUAGGGGCAUGUGGAACUCAGGGUGGAGCGGUGAAAUGCGUAGAUAUCCUGAGGAACGCCGGUGGCGAAAGCGACGUGCUGGACACCUACUGACGCUGAGGCGCGAAGCCAGGGAGCGAACGGG
rnacentral:rRNA from 1 species